rnacentral:rRNA from 1 species
GCCAAUUAAAGCGGUACGUGAGCUGGGUUUAGAACGUCGUGAGACAGUUCGGUCCCUAUCUGCCGUGGGUGUACGAGACUUGAGAGGAGCUGUCCCUAGUACGAGAGGACCGGGAUGGACGAACCUCUGGUGGACCUGUUGUGGCGCCAGCCGCAUUGCAGGGUAGCUAUGUGUGGACUAGAUAACCGCUGAAAGCAUCUAA